rnacentral:rRNA from 1 species
UCAUUGUAGCAAUACAAGGCAUACGGCUCAGUAACGCGUAGUCAACCUAACCUAUGGACGGGAAUAACCUCGGGAAACUGAGAAUAAUGCCCGAUAGAACAUUAUGCCUGGAAUGGUUUAUGUUCCAAAUGAUUUAUCGCCGUAGGAUGGGACUGCGGCCUAUCAGUUUGUUGGUGAGGUAAUGGCCCACCAAGACUAUUACAGGUACGGGCUCUGAGAGGAGUAGCCCGGAGAUGGGUACUGAGACACGGACCCAGGCCCUAUGGGGCGCAGCAGGCGAGAAAACUUUGCAAUGUGCGAAAGCACGACAAGGUUAAUCCGAGUGAUUUCUGCUAAAGAGAUCUUUUGUUAGUCCUAGAACCACUAACGAAUAAGGGGUGGGCAAGUUCUGGUGUCAGCCGCCGCGGUAAAACCAGCACCUCAAGUGGUCAGGAUGAUUAUUGGGCCUAAAGCAUCCGUAGCCGGCUCUGUAAGUUUUCGGUUAAAUCUGUACGCUUAACGUACAGGCUGCCGGGAAUACUGCAGAGCUAGGGAGUGGGAGAGGUAGACGGUACUCGAUAGGAAGUGGUAAAAUGCUUUGAUCUAUCGAUGACCACCUGUGGCGAAGGCGGUCUACCAGAACACGUCCGACGGUGAGGGAUGAAAGCUGGGGGAGCAAACCGGAUUAGAUACCCGGGUAGUCCCAGCUGUAAACUAUGCAAACUCAGUGAUGCAUUGGCUUGUGGCCAAUGCAGUGCUGCAGGGAAGCCGUUAAGUUUGCCGCCUGGGAAGUACGUACGCAAGUAUGAAACUUAAAGGAAUUGGCGGGGGAGCACCACAA